GGGCCGGGAAAAGCCUGGCGCGGCAAGGGAUGGGGUCGCGGCCCAUCAGGUAGACGGCGGGGUAGCGGCCCACCGUGCUUUCGACGGGUAGCCGGCCUGAGAGGGUGGACGGCCACAUUGCGACUGAGAUACGGCCCAGACUCCUACGGGAGGCAGCAGUGGGGAAUAUUGCACAAUGGGCGGAAGCCUGAUGCAGCGACGCCGCGUGGGGGAUGACGGCCUUCGGGUUGUAAACCUCUUUCGACAGGGACGAAGCCUUGUAGGUGACGGUACCUGUAUAAGAAGCACCGGCUAACUACGUGCCAGCAGCCGCGGUAAUACGUAGGGUGCGAGCGUUGUCCGGAAUUACUGGGCGUAAAGAGCUCGUAGGUGGUUUGUCGCGUCGUCUGUGAAAUUCCGGGGCUUAACCUCGGGCGUGCAGGCGAUACGGGCAAUACUUGAGUGCUGUAGGGGAGACUGGAAUUCCUGGUGUAGCGGUGAAAUGCGCAGAUAUCAGGAGGAACACCGAUGGCGAAGGCAGGUCUCUGGGCAGUAACUGACGCUGAGGAGCGAAAGCAUGGGUAGCGAACAGGAUUAGAUACCCUGGUAGUCCAUGCCGUAAACGGUGGGCGCUAGGUGUAGGGGUCUUCCACGACUUCUGUGCCGUAGCUAACGCAU
rnacentral:rRNA from 1 species